rnacentral:misc_RNA from 1 species
GUGAAUCAUCGAAUUUUUGAACGCAAAUUGCACUCUCCUCGGAGAGUAUGCCUGUUUGAGGGUCAGCCUAUAAAAAUCGACAUCGUUGCGGUUUCGCGGUAACGUUUGUCGGAAAGUGGGGCAUCUUAAAGCUGUGGGUUUAAGCGGGUUAGAAUGUUCUUUUUGGUUCGAUGGGCGUUUC